rnacentral:misc_RNA from 1 species
GUGAAUCAUCGAAUCUUUGAACGCAACUUGCGCCACUUGGGCAACCAAGUGGCAUGUCUGUUUGAGUAUCACAAACCUCUUUAUUCCAAGUUUGGAAUAGAUUUGAAGGCUUUGGAGUUUCCAAUCCUUUGAAAUAAAGUUUGUUGGUGAUUGAUUUGGUCACUACCAUGUGCUAAAGGCUUUUAGUCUUGUCAUGUUAAUGAUCAUAGUCAGCCCAUUGCAAAGCUAAUCACUUUGCAAAACUACCUUUAAUGGUCUCAAAUCAGGCAAGACUACCCGCUGAACUUAAGCAUAUCAAUA